GGGUUGUGAGGUUAAGCGACUAAGCGUACACGGUGGAUGCCCUGGCAGUCAGAGGCGAUGAAGGGCGUGCUAAUCUGCGAUAAGCGCCGGUAAGGUGAUAUGAACCGUUAUAACCGGCGAUACCCGAAUGGGGAAACCCAGUGUGAUUCGUCACACUAUCAUUAACUGAAUCCAUAGGUUAAUGAGGCGAACCGGGGGAACUGAAACAUCUAAGUACCCCGAGGAAAAGAAAUCAACCGAGAUUCCCCCAGUAGCGGCGAGCGAACGGGGAGGAGCCCAGAGCCUGAAUCAGCAUGUGUGUUAGUGGAAGCGUCUGGAAAGGCGCGCGAUACAGGGUGACAGCCCCGUACACAAAAGCGCAUGUGCUGUGAGCUCGAUGAGUAGGGCGGGACACGUGGUAUCCUGUCUGAAUAUGGGGGGACCAUCCUCCAAGGCUAAAUACUCCUGACUGACCGAUAGUGAACCAGUACCGUGAGGGAAAGGCGAAAAGAACCCCGGCGAGGGGAGUGAAAAAGAACCUGAAACCGUGUACGUACAAGCAGUGGGAGCACAGGUUUACCUGUGUGACUGCGUACCUUUUGUAUAAUGGGUCAGCGACUUAUAUUCUGUAGCAAGGUUAACCGAAUAGGGGAGCCGGAGGGAAACCGAGUCUUAACCGGGCGUUAAGUUGCAGGGUAUAGACCCGAAACCCGGUGAUCUAGCCAUGGGCAGGUUGAAGGUUGGGUAACACUAACUGGAGGACCGAACCGACUAAUGUUGAAAAAUUAGCGGAUGACCUGUGGCUGGGGGUGAAAGGCCAAUCAAACCGGGAGAUAGCUGGUUCUCCCCGAAAGCUAUUUAGGUAGCGCCUCGUGAAUUCAUCUCCGGGGGUAGAGCACUGUUUCGGCUAGGGGGCCAUCCCGGCUUACCAACCCGAUGCAAACUGCGAAUACCGGAGAAUGUUAUCACGGGAGACACACGGCGGGUGCUAACGUCCGUCGUGAAGAGGGAAACAACCCAGACCGCCAGCUAAGGUCCCAAAGUCAUGGUUAAGUGGGAAACGAUGUGGGAAGGCCCAGACAGCCAGGAUGUUGGCUUAGAAGCAGCCAUCAUUUAAAGAAAGCGUAAUAGCUCACUGGUCGAGUCGGCCUGCGCGGAAGAUGUAACGGGGCUAAACCAUGCACCGAAGCUGCGGCAGCGACACUGUGUGUUGUUGGGUAGGGGAGCGUUCUGUAAGCCUGUGAAGGUGUGUCGUGAGGCAUGCUGGAGGUAUCAGAAGUGCGAAUGCUGACAUAAGUAACGAUAAAGCGGGUGAAAAGCCCGCUCGCCGGAAGACCAAGGGUUCCUGUCCAACGUUAAUCGGGGCAGGGUGAGUCGACCCCUAAGGCGAGGCCGAAAGGCGUAGUCGAUGGGAAACGGGUUAAUAUUCCCGUACUUGGUGUUACUGCGAAGGGGGGACGGAGAAGGCUAUGUUGGCCGGGCGACGGUUGUCCCGGUUUAAGCGUGUAGGUGUGUGUUCCAGGUAAAUCCGGUUCACUUUAACACUGAGGCGUGACGACGAGGCACUACGGUGCUGAAGCAACAAAUGCCCUGCUUCCAGGAAAA
rnacentral:rRNA from 1 species